rnacentral:rRNA from 1 species
UACGUAGGGGGCAAGCGUUGUCCGGAAUCAUUGGGCGUAAAGGGCGCGUAGGCGGCUCGGCACGUCCGUUGUGAAAUCGCCCGGCUCAACUGGGCGGGGUCGGCGGAUACGGCCGAGCUGGAGCAAGCUAGGGGGUAAUGGAAUUCCCGGUGUAGUGGUGGAAUGCGUAGAUAUCGGGAGGAACACCAGUGGCGAAGGCGGUUACCUGGAGCUUUGCUGACGCUGAUGCGCGAAAGCGUGGGGAGCGAUCCGG